CAGCCGCCGCGGUAAUACAGAGGGUGCGAGCGUUAAUCGGAUUUACUGGGCGUAAAGCGUGCGUAGGCGGCUUCUUAAGUCGGAUGUGAAAUCCCUGAGCUUAACUUAGGAAUUGCAUUCGAUACUGGGAAGCUAGAGUAUGGGAGAGGAUGGUAGAAUUUCAGGUGUAGCGGUGAAAUGCGUAGAGAUCUGGAGGAAUACCGAUGGCGAAGGCAGCCAUCUGGCCUAAUACUGACGCUGAGGUACGAAAGCAUGGGGAGCAAACAGGAUUAGAUACCCCCGUAGUCCCUGUCUCUUAUAC
rnacentral:rRNA from 1 species